AGGCUUGUAGCUCAGGUGGUUAGAGCGCACCCCUGAUAAGGGUGAGGUCGGUGGUUCGAAUCCACUCAGGCCUACCA
rnacentral:tRNA from 1 species